GACGGGGGGGGGCAAGUGUUCUUCGGAAUGACUGGGCGUAAAGGGCACGUAGGCGGUGAAUCGGGUUGAAAGUGAAAGUCGCCAAAAAGUGGCGGAAUGCUCUCGAAACCAACUCACUUGAGUGAGACAGAGGAGAGUGGAAUUUCGUGUGUAGGGGUGAAAUCCGUAGAUCUACGAAGGAACGCCAAAAGCGAAGGCAGCUCUCUGGGUCCCUACCGACGCUGGGGUGCGGAAGCAUGGGGAGCGAACAGG
rnacentral:rRNA from 1 species